rnacentral:rRNA from 1 species
UACAGAGGUCCCAAGCGUUGUUCGGAUUCACUGGGCGUAAAGGGUGCGUAGGUGGCGGGGUAAGUUUGAUGUGAAAUCUCCGGGCUUAACCCGGAAACUGCAUUGAAUACUAUCUUGCUCGAGGUUUGGAGGGGGGACUGGAAUUCUCGGUGUAGCAGUGAAAUGCGUAGAUAUCGAGAGGAACACCAGUGGCGAAGGCGAGUCCCUGGACAACACCUGACACUGAGGCACGAAAGCUAGGGGAGCAAACAGG